UUAAUGAAACCGAGCAAUAUGCUCUUUGCUCCAUUGUUUAAAAUGACUGAUAGAUAUUUGGAUUUAUUUGAGGGAAUACAUCUUUAUCACUAUGCUUAAGUCUGUCUGGUAAAAUUGAUUUCUUGGUCUGUGGCUGGCUUAAUUUUUUCUACCACGCUAUUCGCUAUAACAGUUACACCAUUACCAAACAACUACCGACAUGUUUUAAUUUUUACUACAACAACUACAUCCUUCGUGUGUCAGAUCUGAUCCAUCUGCCCUCAACCCAUUACAGUCAUCCUGGUUGUUGCCCUAAAAACCGCCAAGCAUCAUGGCAGUAGGUCACAGUGAGGAGGAGUGGGACGAAAAGCACCCGGACACGAUACAGUCCCAGCCUAGGAAAAACGAAGAGGAGACAAAGAGUGAAAGCUCAGAGAGCAAGUGUCCUAAGUGCUGCUUGAAGACGAGGGACUGUAUGAUGAGCGCCGAGUGUGGACGUUGCCUCCAGAUUUCCAGCGUUGUCGCUUUUUGUGGAAUGUGUAUCCAAAUGUUCGUGUAACCAAAACUUGGAUUUCAGGACCUGCUCUCCCCAGCCAUGUUGAUUUUCUGCACUCCUCCUGCAUCAUGAAGCAUGGCUUUCUUCAGAUCUGCACCUCGUCUCCACUUUAGUGUCGUUCCACUGCAAUUUAUUAUAGAUAAAUAUAAUCUGUAUUUUUUUUUAAACAAAGAUAAUCAAUAUGAAGGCAUUUAACUGUUUUCUGCACAUCUUUGCAAAAGGUGAAUUUUAGAGCCAAUCUGAUCUCUUAAACAGCUACAGUAUUUCGUCAGUCUUGAUUUAUUUUGAAUUGUAAAAAUACAUCAA